rnacentral:rRNA from 1 species
UGGGGAAUUUUGGACAAUGGGCGCAAGCCUGAUCCAGCAAUGCCGCGUGCAGGAUGAAGGCCUUCGGGUUGUAAACUGCUUUUGUACGGAACGAAACGGCUCUGUCUAAUACAUGGGGCUAAUGACGGUACCGUCAUAAUAAGCACCGGCUAACUACGUGCCAGCAGCCGCGGUAAUACGUAGGGUGCAAGCGUUAAUCGGAAUUACUGUGCGUAAAGCGUGCGCAGGCGGUGAUGUAAGUCAGGUGUGAAAUCCCCGGGCUUAACCUGGGAAUUGCAUUUGUGACUGCAUGGCUGGAGUGCGGCAGAGGGGGAUGGAAUUCCGCGUGGAGCAGUGAAAUGCGUAGAUAUGCGGAGGAACAACGAUGGCGAGGGCAAUCCACUGAGACUGCAAUGACACACAUGCACGAAAGCGUGGGGAGCAAACA